AGUGAACGCUGGCGGUAGGCCUAACACAUGCAAGUCGAACGGCAGCACAGUAAGAGCUUGCUCUUACGGGUGGCGAGUGGCGGACGGGUGAGGAAUACAUCGGAAUCUACUUUUUCGUGGGGGAUAACGUAGGGAAACUUACGCUAAUACCGCAUACGACCUACGGGUGAAAGCAGGGGAUCUUCGGACCUUGCGCGAUUGAAUUAGCCGAUGUCGGAUUAGCUAGUUGGCGGGGUAAAGGCCCACCAAGGCGACGAUCCGUAGCUGGUCUGAGAGGAUGAGCAGCCACACUGGAACUGAGACACGGUCCAGACUCCUACGGGAGGCAGCAGUGGGGAAUAUUGGACAAUGGGCGCAGGCCUGAUCCAGCCAUACCGCGUGGGUGAAGAAGGCCUUCGGGUUGUAAAGCCCUUUUGUUGGGAAAGAAAAGCAGCAGGUUAAUACCCCGCUGUUCUGACGGUACCCAAAGAAUAAGCACCGGCUAACUUCGUG
rnacentral:rRNA from 1 species